rnacentral:RNase_P_RNA from 1 species
GCCGCAGACCGCCUUAUCGUUCCGAUUUAUCGGGAAGGAAAGUCCGGACACCACAGAGUAGCAUAGCGGGUAACGCCCGUCCGUCGAGAGAUGAGGACAAGUGCAACAGAAAGUAUGUACAGGUAAGGCUGUAGUGAAACCAGGUAAACUCUAUGCGGUGAAAUUCCAAGUAUAUCGGCAUUUAAGGGUUACUCGCCCGUUGUCGAAGGGUAGGAAGCUCGAGCCAAUGAGCAAUUGUUGGCCCAGAUAAAUGAUAAGGGUUCGUUUCGAUGAAUACAGAAUCCGGCUUAUAGGUCUGCUUUUUUU